UUCGGUCUGGUGGCGAGUGGCGAACGGGUGAGUAAUAUAUCGGAACGUGCCCUGGAGUGGGGGAUAACUAGUCGAAAGACUAGCUAAUACCGCAUACGAUCUACGGAUGAAAGUGGGGGAUCGCAAGACCUCAUGCUCGUGGAGCGGCCGAUAUCUGAUUAGCUAGUUGGUGGGGUAAAAGCCUACCAAGGCAUCGAUCAGUAGCUGGUCUGAGAGGACGACCAGCCACACUGGGACUGAGACACGGCCCAGACUCCUACGGGAGGCAGCAGUGGGGAAUUUUGGACAAUGGGGGCAACCCUGAUCCAGCAAUGCCGCGUGAGUGAAGAAGGCCUUCGGGUUGUAAAGCUCUUUUGUCAGGGAAGAAACGGUCCGGGCUAAUAUCCUGGGCUAAUGACGGUACCUGAAGAAUAAGCACCGGCUAACUACGUGCCAGCAGCCGCGGUAAUACGUAGGGUGCGAGCGUUAAUCGGAAUUACUGGGCGUAAAGCGUGCGCAGGCGGUUGUGCAAGACAGAUGUGAAAUCCCCGGGCUCAACCUGGGAAUUGCAUUUGUGACUGCACGGCUAGAGUGUGUCAGAG
rnacentral:rRNA from 1 species